rnacentral:piRNA from 1 species
UGACCACAACCUAUAGGCAAACAUCGCA